CUUGUGUAGAAGCUGCAUGUGCUUAAUUCAUUGUGACAUGUUGAGCCAGGAAAUGAGAGAAUUGGGCCGAAUGGCCUCUAAGGACACUUUCCUCUGUGACCAUAUGUGGCAAAGAGAAGCCUGGUUAUUUUCCUCCUGAUCAUAUAACUAGCCUUGAAUGUCCUUUCUCGUUGUUUUUCUGCCUUCGAGGUUGCUCAACUGUGCUCCACACCUUAGCUGAUCCUAAAAUUUUUGCAAGUUGCAUCUUCUGCUGCUGGAGGGCACUGUGGAGAAGUUUGGCAGAAUACCCCAUCCACCCCGCCCCCCUCACCCUGAAGGCUGCUUGCGCUGCUGGAACUGGAAAGUCUAUGUUUCUGAAACAAUUAAAGGAAUAUACAAAAGAAAACAAAGAAGCAUACUGAUCUGAAGACAGUUGGGAGUUUUGUGUUAUCUGUUCUUCUCUGCCUUCAGUAGCCCCAGAGCGACGUCUCUGAGUGAAAAUUCCGACUGAUUACCAGCCACAGCCCCACACUGGGUGACGUCCUUCAGCAAAGCAUCGCGAGUUUUCCUGCUCAUUCCCAUGCCUGAAUGGUUCCUACGCACCACUACUGGGCAGUCAGUGUUGAGGGAAGCCUGCCUUUCUCACUUUCCAAGCCCUCCUGAAUAAAGGGCGCAAGAGGCAGGCUCCUGGCUGGAAGACCAGUGCUGUUUCCAUCACACACUUCCUUCCAUUGGGUGAAUGUGACUUGCACCAGGCAGUGACUUGGUACAUGGAAGAAGGACUGAUUUCAGCACCUACUCCUCUCCUCAGCAACCUUCCUUUGUCCUGACACAUGACAGCCUUGGGUAAGGGAGCUCCCACAAGCGGCAGACAAAGCCACUCAGUGCCAGGUUCCUAGGAAUUUCUUCCAAGGGGGCAGGCCAUUGGCUUGGCUCCAAAGAUUAAAAGGCCUCUAGUCAAAACUACUAGUGUUUGCAGCAUCAAGAUAUACAGGCAAAAAGCUGAGUCUUGAAUCUCAAGUAUGUCGUAAGUCUGUG
rnacentral:lncRNA from 1 species